UAACCAUAAAGUUUCCGUUUCUAAUCGGUGACUUUUUGUAACAUGAAGCAGAAAUGUUGAUGGCAAGAAACAUAUCUGGGAAGUCUACUCAGGAUUGAGGAUUCCUGGUAAAUUUGUGCAUGGAGACAGAAGCUCUCAAUCGGACAAAGGGAUGUGAAAAUGGAAGAAGC